CCCGCCCGCCGGCCCGCAGGCCACGCCCCCAGGCGCACCCACCCCAGCUGCUCAGCGCGAUUUCCCUUCGCGCUUCUCCGCACCGGCAUCCCCAGUACUUCAGGUUCCGACAGACCCUCCUGUCAGGCCCAUUCUCCGGGCCCCCUCAGUUGCAGUGUUAAGAUCAACAGUGUUAAGAUUAAAGCCUUGUGAUGUGCUAGCCACUACGCUGAGGAUAUGCCGUGUACUAAAAUUCCUCAGGACUCCUCACAGCUGCCCUGUAAGGAAGCGGCCAUGGCCGGGUUCUAGCGAUGCGAGGCCGAGGCUCGGGGCGCUGAGUAGCCUAGCGCGUCGCCGAGGAGAGCUGGCACGUGAACCCCUUGUCGUUUGCCGUCAGAGGUGUUAUGUGGUGGCCCUCAUUCUCCAUGCAUGGAGCAGACUCUAGGAUCUGCAGUUACUGUAUAAUGAGCCCUUCUGAGUAUUUUGCUUGGGUGGACAGUUUAUGUGUCAGGUAUGUGUAUUUAUAAUUAAAAUCAAAUAUUAUUACAUAGGCUUUGCACCUGGUGAGGUAACAUUGAGAGUAGUUAAUCUCUACACUGGAAUCCAUCUGGAAGACCACUCAAUAACUCAUGAUUAGCCGGACCUGGUGGUGCAAGCCUGGAGUCCCAGUUACCCGGAGGCUGAGGUGGGAAUAUCGCUUGAGACCAGGAGUUUGAGGCUACAGUGAGCUGUGAUUGUACCACUGCACUCCAGCCUGGGUGACAGUACAAGACCUCAUCUCUUAAAAAAAACAAACAACUCAAAAAACCUCAUCAUUGAGCACCUAUGAUGUGCCAGCAACUGUACUCAGUGGUGGGGACUCGACGACAAACAAACCAGGGAUGGGAUCCUUGAGCAGUCACCAUCUGACAAGUGACUGGGAAAGAUGAAUAAUGCCCUUCACCAAGAUUCUUCUCUGAUCCACAAAUUCAAUUACCAAUUUAUUUGUUCACUGCUCUUAAACUUAAAUAUUUUUUAGUAGGUAAUAAAGACAUAUUUAAACACUCUUGACUUUUAACAACUUCUUUGUAAGUACUGUAAUAGUCUUCUUUUCCUUUAAAAAGAAAAAAUACAAAAAGAAGGAAAAGGAAAAUCUAUUCAAAAUAAAGUAUUCCAGAUAUCUGACAUUGCUGCAUUGCUGUAUCAUUCAUUAACAUUCACAAAAAAUAAAAUGAGUACCUUUCAUGUGUGUGCAGGCAUUGUUCUAGGCAAAGAAGAUUUAGCAUUAAACUAAAACUUCUGUUCUCAUGGAACCUACCUACUAGCAGAUCCAAGUCAUGGUAGUUUGUUCAAGAACCUUCAGCUCUUUUCUGCUUUGUUGUCAAAGGCUUCUAAAAUUGGAUCCCGUCCUCCUUAGUUCUUCCUGACCCCUGACAGGGAUCCUGUGCUUCAGUCAGCCUCCAAUCCCAACCACCACCACCAACAAAAUCACAAGAAGACACCUAGGCUAUUAUUCUUAACCUGUUUCCCAGUUUCGAUUUGUUAACCCCCUCUGGAUUAGGCAUUGUUGUCUUUGAUCUUGACAUGUGCCUCUAUGUGGAGAGUGUAUUUUUGCUCACCAAAUUUUUACUCAUUAAACUUUACUGGUGCUAUGCUUGCUAACUUAUUUCAGAUAAUUAGAGCUUUUGGAUGCUUUCUCUAGGACAAACUGUUCCUUUCCCCGUCCUCAGCCUUCCAUGCUGUUAAUGUACAAAAUCAGAUGAUUUAAACAUAAAUCAUCUUGAACUCUAGAAUGACGUGGUCCCCUUAGCGAAAAACUGGGAUUCAACACUACUCCUCAGUGAUGAUGGUAAGGCUAUGUGGGCAGUUGUUUAACCAUUAUCCCCAGGUGCCCUCACCCACAGCCAGCCUGCUCAAAGGACUAUUUCCCAUUGCAAUAAUAAUGACAGAGCUAGGAGGGAGGCCAUGACUAAUAAAGACGUAUAAGAUGUUACUGCAAAUUCUUUUUUCUAUCCAUAUGAAUUAUAAACUAAAAAAUAUUGACAAAUAUCAGCAAUUACAUCGAAAGAAGAAGGUGGUUGUCAAAAAUAAAAACCAUUGUUAUGUUUUAUAAAUGUUAUUGAAGUCCACAGGAAAUACAUUAAUUUGGUGGGUGUAAAAUUGGAAGAAUUUUGAAAAAUGUAUGCAGUGGUGUAACCACAAACACAAUCAUGAUAUUUCCAUCCCUCCAGAGUUUCCUUAUGUUCCUCCUCCCAAUCUGUUUCCUGUCAACUAAUUAUCUGCUCUCUGUCACUGUAAUAUUGCCUGUUCUAGGAAAUUAGAUGAGUGGAAUUUUCUAUUAUGUGGUCUUUUGAGUCUGACUUCUUUCACUAAUUAUACUGACUUUGAGAUUUAUCCAUGUUGUUGCAUGUAUCAGUAAUUCAUUCAUUUUCAUUGCUAAGUGGUAUUGUAUGAAUACAGUUUAUUUAUCCGUUCAUCAGUUGAUGGACGUUUGGGUUCAUUCCAAUUUUUAACUAUUAUAAAUAAAGUUGCUAUAAACAG